GGGUGUGAUCAUACUAACACUGUUACCCCGGAUCCCAUCAGAACUCCGCAGUUAAGCGUGCUUAGGCGAGAGUAGUACUAGCAUGGGUAACCCCCCGGGAAGUCCUCGUGUUCCACCCC